UGGGGAAUAUUGGACAAUGGGCGCAAGCCUGAUCCAGCCAUGCCGCGUGAGUGAUGAAGGCCCUAGGGUUGUAAAGCUCUUUCAGCGAGGAGGAUAAUGACGUUACUCGCAGAAGAGCCCCGGCUAACUUCGUGCCAGCAGCCGCGGUAAUACGAAGGGGGCUAGCGUUGUUCGGAAUCACUGGGCGUAAAGCGCACGUAGGCGGACUUUUAAGUCAGGGGUGAAAUCCCGGGGCUCAACCUCGGAACUGCCUUUGAUACUGGAAGUCUGGAGUCCGAGAGAGGUGAUGGAACUCCGAGUGUAGAGGGUGAAAUUCGUAGAUAUUCGGAAGAACACCAGUGGCGAAGGCGGCUCACUGGCUCGGUACUGACGCUG
rnacentral:rRNA from 1 species